CCUACGGGAGGCAGCAGUGGGGAAUCUUGCGCAAUGGGCGAAAGCCUGACGCAGCAACGCCGCGUGCGGGAUGAAGGCCUUCGGGUUGUAAACCGCUUUUAACAGGAACGAGAAUGACGGUACCUGUAGAAUAAGGUGCGGCCAACUACGUGCCAGCAGCCGCGGUGACACGUAGGCACCAAGCGUUGUCCGGAUUUAUUGGGCGUAAAGAGCUCGUAGGCGGUUCGAUAAGUCGGGUGUGAAAACUCUGGGCUUAACCCAGAGACGCCACUCGAUACUAUUGUGACUAGAGUUCGGUAGGGGAGCGGGGAAUUCCUAGUGUAGCGGUGAAAUGCGCAGAUAUUAGGAGGAACACCGGUGGCGAAGGCGCCGCUCUGGGCCGAAACUGACGCUGAGGAGCGAAAGCGUAGGUAGCAAACAGGAUUAGAUACCCUGGUAGUCCACGCCGUAAACGGUGGGCACUAGGUGUGGGCUCCAACCAACGGAGUCCGCGCCGUCGCUAACGCAUUAAGUGCCCCGCCUGGGGAGUACGGCCGCAAGGUUAAAACUCAAAGGAAUUGACGG
rnacentral:rRNA from 1 species